UCCUGGGUGGCUCAGACAGUAAAGCAUCUGCCUAGAAUGUGGGAGACCCGGGUUCAAUCCCUGGGUCGGGAA
rfam:TPA: Bos taurus chromosome 24, whole genome shotgun sequence.